rnacentral:tRNA from 2 species
GCCUCGGUAGCUCAGUCUGGCAGAGCGAGCGCUUCGUAAGCGCUAGGUCGUGGGUUCAGAUCCCAUCCGGGGCU